rnacentral:misc_RNA from 1 species
GCAAACUUGGUCAUUUAGAGGAAGUAAAAGUCGUAACAAGGUUUCCGUAGGUGAACCUGCGGAAGGAUCAUUACAGUGCCGCGGGGCGUGCGCCUUGGCCGCUCCCCGCACACGGCCACCCGUGUCUACCUUACCUCCUGUUGCCUCGGCGGGCCCGCCGGGCGCGUCCCCCAAAACCCUUCGGGGCUCGGGGGUCCCCCGGCCGCUGGGACUCCCCGGCCCGUGCCCGCCAGAGGACCACGCGAACUCUUCUCUGAAUUAGUGACGUCUGAUCGAGGCUGAUUGCAAAAUCAAGCUUACAAAACUUUCAACAACGGAUCUCUUGGUUCCGGCAUCGAUGAAGAACGCAGC